CCUACGGGAGGCAGCAGUGGGGAAUCUUGCGCAAUGGGCGAAAGCCUGACGCAGCCAUGCCGCGUGAAUGAUGAAGGUCUUAGGAUUGUAAAAUUCUUUCACCGGGGACGAUAAUGACGGUACCCGGAGAAGAAGCCCCGGCUAACUUCGUGCCAGCAGCCGCGGUAAUACGAAGGGGGCUAGCGUUGCUCGGAAUUACUGGGCGUAAAGGGAGCGUAGGCGGAUAGUUUAGUCAGAGGUGAAAGCCCAGGGCUCAACCUUGGAAUUGCCUUUGAUACUGGCUAUCUUGAGUAUGGGAGAGGUUAGCGGAACUCCGAGUGUAGAGGUGAAAUUCGUAGAUAUUCGGAAGAACACCAGUGGCGAAGGCGGCUAACUGGCCCAUUACUGACGCUGAGGCUCGAAAGCGUGGGGAGCAAAACAGGAUUAGAUACCCUGGUAGUCCACGCCGUAAACGAUGAGUGCUAGUUGUCGGCAUGCAUGCAUGUCGGUGACGCAGCUAACGCAUUAAGCACUCCGCCUGGGGAGUACGGUCGCAAAGAUUUAAAAACUCAAAGGAAAUUGACGGCUUGAGAGNGCGAGACGACACGAGGAGGAGG
rnacentral:rRNA from 1 species